GACGAACGCUGGCGGCGUGCCUAACACAUGCAAGUCGAGCGGGGUUGAAGCGAGGGGUAACUCGGACUUCUACCUAGCGGCGGACGGGUGAGUAACGCGUGGGCAACCUGCCUCAAGGUUUGGGAUAACAGCUCGAAAGGGCUGCUAAUACCGGAUAUGCCUGUGGCCUCGCAUGGGGCUAUGAGCAAAGGGGAAACCCGCCUUGAGAUGGGCCCGCGUCCCAUCAGCUAGUUGGUGAGGUGAAGGCUCACCAAGGCGACGACGGGUAGCCGGCCUGAGAGGGUGACCGGCCACACUGGGACUGAGACACGGCCCAGACUCCUACGGGGGCAGCAGUGGGGGAUCUUGCACAAUGGGCGAAAGCCUGAUGCAGCGACGCCGCGUGAGCGAAGAAGGCCUCGGUGUAAGCUCUGUCUGGAGGGACGAACGAAAUAGACGGUACCUCCGGAGGAAGCCACGGCUAACUACGUG
rnacentral:rRNA from 1 species